AAAUCGUGUUGUGGGCAUGAACUAACAAGAUCUUUGAACUGCUCCUAAUAUUGGAAAAAUGUUUCACCUUCUUUUUGACCGAAGUUCAUUAUUAACUUUCUGAGGGU